rnacentral:rRNA from 1 species
GACAGCCAGGAUGUUGGCUUAGAAGCAGCCAUCAUUUAAAGAAAGCGUAAUAGCUCACUGGUCGAGUCGGCCUGCGCGGAAGAUGUAACGGGGCUAAACCAUGCACCGAAGCUGCGGCAGCGACACUGUGUGUUGUUGGGUAGGGGAGCGUUCUGUAAGCCUGCGAAGGUGUGCUGUGAGGCAUGCUGGAGGUAUCAGAAGUGCGAAUGCUGACAUAAGUAACGAUAAAGCGGGUGAAAAGCCCGCUCGCCGGAAUA